CUCCUACGGGAGGCAGCAGUGGGGAAUAUUGGGCAAUGGGGGAAACCCUGACCCAGCAACGCCGCGUGAGGGAAGAAGGUUUUCGGAUUGUAAACCUCUGUCCUCAGGGAAGAAGGAAGUGACGGUACCUGAGGAGGAAGCCCCGGCUAACUACGUGCCAGCAGCCGCGGUAAUACGUAGGGGGCAAGCGUUGUCCGGAAUGACUGGGCGUAAAGGGCGCGUAGGCGGCUCAAUAAGUCUGGAGUGAAAGUCCUGCUUUCAAGGUGGGAAUUGCUUUGGAAACUGUAGAGCUUGAGUGCGGAAGAGGUAAGUGGAAUUCCCAGUGUAGCGGUGAAAUGCGUAGAGAUUGGGAGGAACACCAGUGGCGAAGGCGACUUACUGGGCCGUAACUGACGCUGAGGCGCGAAAGCGUGGGGAGCGAACAGGAUUAGAUACCCUGGUAGUCCACGCGGUAAACGAUGGAUACUAGGUGUUGCGGGUAUCGACCCCUGCAGUGCCGCAGCUAACGCGUUAAGUAUCCCGCCUGGGGAGUACGCACGCAAGUGUGAAACUCAAAGGAAUUGACGGGGGCCCGCACAAGCGGUGGAACAUGUGGUUUAAUUCGAAGCAACGCGAAAAACCUUACCAGGGCUUGACAUCUAGAGAAUUCUAGUGAAAGCUAGGAGUGCCUUUCGGGGAACUCUAAGACAGGUGGUGCACGGUUGUCGUCAGCUCGUGUCGUGAGAUGUUGGGUUAAGUCCCGCAACGAGCGCAACCCUCGUCGUUAGUUGCAUAUAUCGGUAUACUGAUAUAUUGCUCUCUAGCGAGACUGCCGGUGAUAAACCGGAGGAAGGUGGGGACGACGUCAAAUCAUCAUGCCCCUUAUGCUNUGGGCUACACACGUGUUACAAUGGCUAGGACAACGAGUCGCCAACUCGCGAGAGUGAGCAAAUCUCUUAAACCUAGUCUCAGUUCGGAUCGCACUCUGCAACUCGAGUGCGUGAAGUCGGAAUCGCUAGUAAACGCAGAUCAGCACGCUGCGUUGAAUACGUUCCCGGGUCUUGUACACACCGCCCGU
rnacentral:rRNA from 1 species